rnacentral:rRNA from 1 species
AUUGAACGCUGGCGGCAGGCCUAACACAUGCAAGUCGAGCGGAUGAGUGGAGCUUGCUCCAUGAUUCAGCGGCGGACGGGUGAGUAAUGCCUAGGAAUCUGCCUGGUAGUGGGGGACAACGUUUCGAAAGGAACGCUAAUACCGCAUACGUCCUACGGGAGAAAGCAGGGGACCUUCGGGCCUUGCGCUAUCAGAUGAGCCUAGGUCGGAUUAGCUAGUAGGUGAGGUAAUGGCUCACCUAGGCGACGAUCCGUAACUGGUCUGAGAGGAUGAUCAGUCACACUGGAACUGAGACACGGUCCAGACUCCUACGGGAGGCAGCAGUGGGAAUAUUGGACAAUGGGCGAAAGCCUGAUCCAGCCAUGCCGCGUGUGUGAAGAAGGUCUUCGGAUUGUAAAGCACUUUAAGUUGGGAGGAAGGGCAGUAAGUUAAGUACCUUGCUGUUUGACGUUACCAACAGAAUAAGCACCGGCUAACUUCGU